rnacentral:rRNA from 1 species
AUGUUCAAUGCUUUCUUCUCUCUGGAGCCAAUUUACACUAGUUUUCCGUCCACUGAUGAAGUAAAGCACUUAAUUGUAGCAGCAAUAAUAUGCAUAGUACAAAUUAGUUACUCACAAGAUUUGCCUCUUAUUAUGAUUGUACCUGAUGAGGGACGAGAAGCCACAAAAGCCACUAAAGGUCAGCCUCGGGAUACCAAGCUCCCUUGCGAUGUCACCAGUCCACCAGUGAAUCAGGUCAGAUAUGAUGCAGCUCGGAGGCGAGCGCUGCUGCUCAUGGAGGCAUGCCUUGAGCGGCUCCUGAAGCGCAGCGAUGGCAUAAGUUGGAGAGCAGAUCUAUGGAUUGGAUCAUGUCCAGGUUCUCGCACCCGUCCGGUAGGCCGAACUCGGCACUCGGGAAAUGGAGCUCCACGAGCCGUACUGCCAGGCCCGCCGCCUCCACAUCGGCUGCAAAGCCUGCCAACCUGGAGGCAUUCACUGGUGUGGUGA